GAUGAACGCUGGCGGCGUGCCUAAUACAUGCAAGUCGAGCGAACGGACGAGAAGCUUGCUUCUCUGAUGUUAGCGGCGGACGGGUGAGUAACACGUGGAUAACCUACCUAUAAGACUGGGAUAACUUCGGGAAACCGUAGCUAAUACCGGAUAAUAUUUUGAACCGCAUGGUUCAAAAGUGAAAGACGGUCUUGCUGUCACUUAUAGAUGGAUCCGCGCUGCAUUAGCUAGUUGGUAAGGUAACGGCUUACCAAGGCAACGAUGCAUAGCCGACCUGAGAGGGUGAUCGGCCACACUGGAACUGAGACACGGUCCAGACUCCUACGGGAGGCAGCAGUAGGGAAUCUUCCGCAAUGGGCGAAAGCCUGACGGAGCAACGCCGCGUGAGUGAUGAAGGUCUUCGGAUCGUAAAACUCUGUUAUUAGGGAAGAACAUAUGUGUAAGUAACUGUGCACAUCUUGACGGUACCUAAUCAAAAAGCCACGGCUAACUACGU
rnacentral:rRNA from 1 species